AGAGAAAACAAAAGCUCUCCAAAAGGAACUGAUCUCCCUCACCAGGAAUGUAGGAGAACACCAAGAGGAGGAGACAGAUUUGGAGAGAGAUAAAGGAGUAAACCAACUGUUGGCCCUUACCCAGACCAUUAAAGCACUGAAACUGAGGGAGGAGGAGAAAGACAAAAAGAUGGAAGAGGAACGAGGUGAAAGACAAACGCAACUGUUGGCCCUCACCAGGAUGAAGAAAGAACAGGUUGUGAAGGAGGAGAUCAUGAGGAGCGAGAUCAUGGAAGAGACAAAAAAAAGAGCGGCUCUCCAGAAGGAACUAAUGACCCUCACCCAGACCGUAGAAGAACAGAAAGAGAGGGAGGAGAACAAGGACAGAGAGUUACAGGAGGAGAGAGAGAAAAGUGAAGCUCUCAAAAACGAGGUGUUGUCCCUCAACCGGAAGAUGGAAGAAGAGAGAGUGGGGAAGGAGUGGAUGGAGAGAAGGAUAAGGAAGGAAAGGCAGAAGAGAGACGCGCAAGUGAUGAUCCACGUACGGAAAAUUAAAAAGCUGGAGGAGAGAGAGGAGCUACUGAUCCCCAUGCUGAGGAAGAUGGCAGAAAGGGAGCUGAUGAUCUGGAGGGACAUGAAGGAAAUCCAGAUGGACAUAUGCAGAUGGUGAAGGAAACCUUAUGUGCUCCACACGAGGAAGAAAAUCAGUGGAAAUGGGUGAGAAAUGAUCAUUGUUGAAGCCACUUUGAAGAAGUGUGUUAACUAGGCGAAGACAAUUGAACGGAUCUGAGUAGACGCACGGCUGGGAUAAGCAUCUAGCUCUGCGAACUGAGCCGUGCGGAAAUUACACGUCACAUUUGAUGCCUGGUUCUGUCUAUGGAACAUGUUGAUUUAAUCACAAGUUGUUGUGUAUUUGUAUUUCAGAAAGCACCAUUUGAUUGACUUCCACAGAGAACAACCACUGUCAAUGAGAGGAAUAUUCAAAUGUGUCUUUCCCUG
rnacentral:lncRNA from 1 species